GAGUUUCGUUCUUCUUAUUGGCCUCCUUUAGUUUUCCUUGAUCAACAACCACUAACCAAAAACACAAUUAGAUUAGAUUAUGAAUGAUACUUUCAACUAUGACAAUAUUAAAUACAAAACACUCUAAAUAACUCUAAAUAAAUGGAAAGCAACAAAUUACCUGACGAGGCAAGCUAGCUCAAUUAAGACCAUUGUGUUAUACUUGUCUCUGAAUUGAAAAUUUUAGAAGAAAAUAAAGAGAAA
rnacentral:lncRNA from 1 species